GAGCGAAGCUNGAGGGAGUUUACUCCCAAAGGUUAGCGGCGGACCGGUGAGUAACUUGUGGGCAACCUGCCUGUAAGACUGGGAUAACUUCGGGAAACCGGAGCUAAUACCGGGAUAACAUAUGAGACCACAUGGUCUUGUAUUAAAAGGUGGCUUUUAGCUACCACUUACAGAUGGGCCCGCGGCGCAUUAGCUAGUUGGUGAGGUAACGGCUCACCAAGGCGACGAUGCGUAGCCGACCUGAGAGGGUGAUCGGCCACACUGGGACUGAGACACGGCCCAGACUCCUACGGGAGGCAGCAGUAGGGAAUCUUCCGCAAUGGACGAAAGUCUGACGGAGCAACGCCGCGUGAGCGAAGAAGGUCUUCGGAUCGUAAAGCUCUGUUGUUAGGGAAGAACAAGUAUCGUUCGAAUAGGGCGGUACCUUGACGGUACCUAACCAGAAAGCCACGGCUAACUACGUGCCAGCAGCCGCGGUAAU
rnacentral:rRNA from 1 species